rnacentral:rRNA from 1 species
GUGAGGAAUUUUCCGCAAUGGGCGAAAGCCUGACGGAGCAAUGCCGCGUGAAGGAUGAAGGCCUAUGGGUUGUAAACUUCUUUUCUUAGAGAAGAAUAUUGACGGUAUCUGAGGAAUAAGCACCGGCUAACUCCGUGCCAGCAGCCGCGGUAAUACGGAGGGUGCGAGCGUUGUCCGGAUUUAUUGGGUUUAAAGGGUGCGUAGGCUGGAAGGUCAGUCAGCGGUGAAAAGCUAUCGCUUAACGAUAGUCUUGCCGCAGAUACUUCCUUUCUUGGAUGAGGAGGAGGCCACUGGAACGGAUGGUGUAGCGGUGAAAUGCAUAGAUAUCAUCCAGAACACCGAUUGCGAAGGCAGGUGGCUGUACCUUAAUCGACGCUGAUGCACGAAAGCAUGGGGAGCAAACAGGAUUAGAUACCCCUGUAGUCC